UGGAGCAGCUGGCCUAGGUGUGCGGUCAACAUAGUUCCUGUUCUAGCCCUACACAGGUAGACAGAUGCGAGGGUUGGGACUACUCAUGCUGUUCGCCCUUUUUGGGCUAGGGUACUGCAGACAGGUUGAAGUUGAGGAUGUGACUGGGCGACAGUUUGAGGCGGCGGCGGAAACCGAAGAUAUUUUGGCUGUGUACUGGUGUAA